rnacentral:rRNA from 1 species
AUACAUGCAAGUCGAGCGAAUGGAUUAAGAGCUUGCUCUUAUGAAGUUAGCGGCGGACGGGUGAGUAACACGUGGGUAACCUGCCCAUAAGACUGGGAUAACUCCGGGAAACCGGGGCUAAUACCGGAUAAUAUUUUGAACCGCAUGGUUCGAAAUUGAAAGGCGGCUUCGGCUGUCACUUAUGGAUGGACCCGCGUCGCAUUAGCUAGUUGGUGAGGUAACGGCUCACCAAGGCAACGAUGCGUAGCCGACCUGAGAGGGUGAUCGGCCACACUGGGACUGAGACACGGCCCAGACUCCUACGGGAGGCAGCAGUAGGGAAUCUUCCGCAAUGGACGAAAGUCUGACGGAGCAACGCCGCGUGAGUGAUGAAGGCUUUCGGGUCGUAAAACUCUGUUGUUAGGGAAGAACAAGUGCUAGUUGAAUAAGCUGGCACCUUGACGGUACCUAACCAGAAAGCCACGGCUAACUACGUGCCAGCAGCCGCGGUAAUACGUAGGUGGCAAGCGUUAUCCGGAAUUAUUGGGCGUAAAGCGCGCGCAGGUGGUUUCUUAAGUCUGAUGUGAAAGCCCACGGCUCAACCGUGGAGGGUCAUUGGAAACUGGGAGACUUGAGUGCAGAAGAGGAAAGUGGAAUUCCAUGUGUAGCGGUGAAAUGCGUAGAGAUAUGGAGGAACACCAGUGGCGAAGGCGACUUUCUGGUCUGUAACUGA